rnacentral:sRNA from 1 species
UAGUGUUUAUGCACUUGUGAAGUAGCCU